GCUAUUCUCUUUACUUUUAUAUGUUGAAAUUUUUCAUAAAACCCCUUUUUAAAAGUACUUUGUAACCACAGAAACUUUUUAAUGUAAUUUUGUCCAUGUCAGUCAUUAGAAUUCCUAUGGAACACAGUUCUACUCUGACGCAUGAGUAGGACUUGAUGAGAUGACAACUGUUUUUUUUUUUUUUUGUCUAUGUGUAAACGUAUUUGUUCUGCAUACCACUCAAUUUUACAGGCUAAAAUCAAUGCAGUAACAUUGUCUUAUAGAAUGUUUGAUAGGAUUAAUGCUAUUUUAAUUUUUUAAAUAAUUGAUAGAUUUUCUUUUUAGUACAGUUUUAGAUUUAUAGAAUAAUUGAGCAAAUACUACAUGUUGUGUACUGUCAGGCAAUUCUGACUUGUAGUAUAUAUUUAUAUGUCCCCUACCUCCUGAGCCCCUCCCAGAGCCUCCCCUAUUAUUAACAUUUUGCAUUAGUGUUAUACAUUUGUUAUAAUUAAUGAACCAACAUUGAUGCAUUAUUAUUAACUAUAACCCAUAGUUUACAUUAAGGUUCAUGCUUUGUGUUGUACAGUUCAAUGGUUUUGAAAAAUUCAGAAUGGUAGGUAUCCACCAUUAGUUUCACAUAGAAUAGUUUCACCACCCUAAAAAUCACUUAUUCACCUCUACUCUCCUUCCCACUGAAUCCCUGGCAACCACUGAUCUUUUUACUAUCUCUAUAGUUUUGCCUUUCUAGAAUGACAUAUAGUUGGAAUCAUGUAGUAUGUAAACUUUUUAGACUGGCUUCUUUCACUUAGCAGAUGCAUUUAAGAUUGCUCUACAUCCUUUUGUGGCUCUGUAGUUCAUUUCUUUUUACUGAUGAAUAAUAGUCCAUUGUAUGGAUGUAGCACAGAUUGUUUAUCCAUUUACCUACUGAAGGACAUCUUGAUUGCCAGUGUUUGGUGGUUAUGCAUAAGCUGCUACAAACAUUUGUGUACAAGUUUUUAUGUGGAUGUAAGUUUUCACCUUUAUUGGGGAAAUGCCAAGUGUUUUAGUUAUCUGGUGCUGCCGUGGGUCACUAUGAGUCGUACUCGACUCGACGGCACUGGGUUGGGUGGGUGCUGCUGUAACAGAGAUACCACAAGUAGAUGGCUUUAACAAACAGAAAUUUAUAUUCUCAAAGUUUAGGAGGCUAGAAGCCUGAACUCAGGACAUUGGCUCUCAUGGAUUGAAUUGUGUCCUCCCAAAAUAUCUGUCAACUUGACUAGAUCAUGAUUCCCUUGUAUGACUGUAUGAUUGCCUACCAUUUUAUCUUCCGGUGUGACUUCCCUAUGUGUCGUAAAUCCUAUCACUAUGAUGUAAUAAAAUGGAUUAGUGGCAGUUACACUGAGGAGAUAUACAAGAUUAGAUAGUGUCUUAAGCCAAUCUCUUUAAGAUAUAAAAGAGAGAAUGGAGCAGAGAGACAGGGGAACCUCAUAAAAACAAGAAAGCAGCGCUGGGAGCAGAGCAUGUCCUUUGGACCUGAAGUUCCUGCACUGAGAUGCUCCCAGACCAAGGGAAUACUGAUGACAAGGACCUUCCUCCAGAGCUGACAGAGAAAGAAAGCCUUCCCCUGGAGUUGACGCCCUGAAUUUGGACUUGUAACCUGCUAGACAGUGAGAGAAUAAGUUUCUCUUUGUUAAAGCCAUCCACUUGUGGUAUUUCUGUUAUAGUAGCACUAGAUGACUGAGACACUGGCUCUAGGGGAAGUCUUUCUCUGUUGGCUCUGAAGGAAUGUCGUUGUCUCUUCUGAGCUCCUGCUCCCGGGCAGUCUUCAUGUGCUUGGCAUCUCUCUUCCCCCAACUCUGCUUUGCUCACUUAUUUAAUCUCUUUUAUAUCUCAAAAGAGAUUGACUCAAGAUACGCCCUACACUAAUCCUGCCUCAUUAACAUAACAAAGACAACCCAUUCCCAAAUGGGAUUAUAACCACAGGCAUAAACCAGAAAACCUAACCCAUUGCAGGUCAAAUUGAUUCCAACUCAUAGUGACCACAGGCAUAGAGGUUAGGAUUUGCAACACAUUUUGCGGGGGCGGGGGGGGGACAUAAUUCAAUCCAUAACACCAAGGAUCAUGUGGUAAGACUAUGUUUAACUUUGUAAGAAACUGCCAAACUGUUUUCCAAAGUGGUUGUACCAUUUUGCAUUCCACCAACAAUGAAUGAGCAUUCAUGUUGCUCCAUAUCUUCAUUACCAUUUGGUAUUGUCAGUGUUUUUGUAUUUUGGUCAUUGUGGUAUCUCAUUGUUCUUUUAAUUUAAUGACAAAUGGUGAGCCCCGGUGGCACAGUGGCUAAGUGCUCAGCUGCUAACUGAAAGGUCUGUGGUUCAAACCCACCAGUAACUCCUUGGGAAAAAGAUGUGGCAGUCUGCUUCCGUAAGUAUCACAGCCUUGGAAACCCUACGGGGCAACUCUACUAUAGGGUUGCUAUGAAUUGGAAUCGACUCAACGGCAAUGGGUUUUUUUUUUUUAAUGACAUAUGAUGUCGAAUAUAUUUUCAUAUGCUUAUUUUCUUUACUGAGAUAUAAUUCACAUACCAUACCCUUCAUCCUAUUGAAGUAUACAGUUCUGUGGUUUUUAGUAUAUUCACAGAGUUGUGCAACCAUUGUCAGUAUCUAAUAUUAGAACAUUGUAAUCAUCCUGUACCUAUUAGCAAUCUCUCACCAUUCCUCCAUCCUCCUGGAAACCACUAAUCUAUUUGAGGUCCGUAUGGAUUUGUUCCAGACAUUUCAUAUAAACAGAAUUAUACACUAUGUGAUUUUUUGUGUGGUCUUUCACUUAGCAUAAUGUUUUCAAGGUUUAUCCAUGUUGUAGCAUGUAUCAGUACUUUUUGUUGGCAAAUAAUAGUCCAUUGGAUAUACCACAUUUGUUUAUCCAUUCAUCCAUUGAUGGGCAUUUGGAUUGUUCUCGCAUUUUGGCUAUUAUGAAUAAUGCUAUUAUGAUCAUUCAUGUACAAGUUUUUGUGUGGACUUAUGUUUUUAUGUCUUUUGGACAUAUACCCAAGAAUGGAAUUACUGGUUCAUGUGGUAAUUCUAUGUUUAAUCACUUGAGGACUGUCAGACUGUCUUCCAAAGCGCUGUACCAUCUUAAAACCCCACCAGCAGUGUACGAGGGUUCUGAUUUCUCUACAUCCUCACCAAUACCUGUUAUUAUUUGACUUUUUUAUUCUAGCCAUCCUUGUAGAUGUGAUGUGGUAUCUCAUUGUGGUUUUGAUUUGUAUUUCCCUGGUGGCUAGUGAUGCUAUCCUGUGCUUAUUGGCCAUUUGUAAAUUUUCUUUGGAGAAAAGUCUAUUUGAAUCCUUUGUCCAUUUUUUUAAAUUGGGUUAUUUGUCUUAUUAUUGUUGAGUUGUCAGAGUCCUUUAUAUAUUCUAGAUACAAGUUCAUUAUCAGAUACAUGAUUUGCAAAUAUUUUCUCCCAUUCUGUGGGUUGUCUUUUCACUUUCUUGAUGGCAUCUUUGCACACAAAAGUUUUAAAUUUUGGUGAAGUCCAAUUUACGUAUUUUUUCCUUUGUCAUUAUGCUUUUGGUGUCGUAUGUAAGAAGCCAUAACCUAAAGUUGCAGCAAUUUUUAAAAAAUUUUUAUUGUGCUUUAGGUGAAAGUUUACAAAUGAAGUCAGUCUCUCAUACAAAAAUUUAUAUACACCUUGCUAUGUACUCCUAAUUGCUCUUGCCCUAAUGAAACAUCACACUCCUUCCCUCUACUCUCUAUUUUCGUAUCUAUUUGGCCAGCCCCUGACCCCCUCUACUCUCUCAUCUCCCCUCCAGACAGGAGAUGCCAACAUAGUCUCAUGUGUCUACUUGAUCUAAGAAACUCACUCUUCACCAUUAUCAUUUUCUAUCCCAUAGUCCAGUACGAUCCCUGUCUGAAGAGUUGGCUUUCGGAAUGGUUCCUGUCCUGGGCUAACAGAAGGUCUGAGGACCAUGACCUCCAGGGUCCUUCUAGUCUGAGUCAGACCUUUAAGUCCGGUCUUUUUACAAGAAUUUGGGGUCUGCAUCCCACUCUUCCCCUGCACCCUCAAGGGUUGUCUGUUGUGUUCCCUGUCAGGGCAGUCAUCGGUCAGAGCUGGGCAUCAUCUAGUUCUUCUGGUCUCAGGCUGAUGUAGUCUCUGGUUUAUGUGGUCCUUUCUGUCUGUUAGGAUCAAGUCAUAGCAAUUUACUUCUAUUUUUUUUCCAAGAGUUUUAUAGUUUCUGCUUUUACAUUUAGGUUUCUGAUUCAUUUUGAGCUAAUGUUUAUAUGUGGUUUGAGGUAGAUGUCCAAGUUCAUUCUUUUGCAUGUGGAUUUUCAGUUCUCCCAGCACCGUUUUUUCAAAAGACUAUUCUGUCACCAAUGAAUUGCCUUGGCACCUUGUCAAAAAUCUGGAUUUUCAACCCUAUCCCAUUGACCUAUAUGUCUGUCCUUAUGCCAGUACCACCUAUCUUGAUUACUGUAACGUUAUAGUAAAUUCGAAAUUGGGAAACAUGGGUUUUUCAAUUUUUCAGGACUAUUUUGGCUAUUCUGGAUCUCUUGCAUUUUCAUAUGAGUUUUAGGAUCAGAUUGACAAUUUUUGUAAAAAUGCCAUCUGGGAUUUUAAUAAGCAUUGAAUCAGUAGUGAUCUGGUGGUGAAUAUUGCAUUUUAACAGUAUUAAGGCUUCUGAGCCAUGAACAUGGAAUUUCUUUUUGUUUAUUUAGGUCUUUGGUUUCUUUAACAAUGUUUUGUGGUUUUCAGUGUCGAAGUCUUAUACUUCCUUGGUUAAAUUCAUUCUUAAGUUUUUUUUUUUAAUGAGUUAUGAAUGGAAUUGUUUUCUUAAGUUCAUUUUCAAAUUGUUCAUUGAUAGUGUGUACAACUAAUUUUUAAAUAUUUAUCUAGUAUCCUGCAGACUUGGCUGGAUUCAUUCAUUAGUCAUAACAAUGCUUUUGUGGAUUCCUUAGGAUUUUCCAAAUAUAAUAUCAUAUUAUCUGUGAAUAGAAAUUAGUUUUACUUCUUGAUUUCCAAUCUGGAUAGCUUUUAUUUAUUUUUCUUGACUAAUAGCCGGAACUAGACCCUUCAGCACAGUAUUGAAUAGACAUGGUGACAGUGGAUGUUCUUGUCUUAUUCCUCAUCUUUUUUUUGGGGGGGGAUAGGAAUUUUUUUUUUCUUAGUUGUACUUUAGGUGAAAUUUUACAGAGCAAGUUAGUUUCUCAUUAAACAAUUAAUACAUAAUACACAUAUUGUUUUGUGACAUUGGUUGCCAACCCCGCCAUGUCAAUAAUUUUCCCUUCUAGACCUUAACUUUCCUGUCCCUUCUUGCCAUCUCAUCCUUGCGCCUGGGCUGGAGUGCCUGUUUAGUCUCGUAUACAUGGGUGAGCUACGUGUGUUAUCCUUUGUUUUAUGGGCCUGUCUAAUCUUUGUCUGAAGGGUGAACCUAAGGAGUGACUUCAGUACUGAGUUAAAAGAAUGCCCAGGGGCCAUACUCUUGGGGCUUCUCCAGUCUCCAUCAGACUAGUAAAUCUGGUCUUUUUUUUGUGAGUUAGAAUUUUGUUCUACAUUUUUCUCCAGCCUUGUCCGGGAUCCUCUGUUGUGAUCCCUGUCAGAGUAGUCAGUGGUAGUAGCCGGGCACCAUCUAGUUGUGCUGGACUCAGGCUGGUGGAGGCUGUGGUAGUUGUGUUUAUUAGUUGUUUGAACUAAUCUUUCCCUUGUGUCUUUGGUUUUCUUCAUUCUCCUCUGCUCCAGACAGGUUGGGGCCAGUAGAUGUAUCUUAGAUGGCUACUCACGAGCUUUUAAGACCCCAAAAGCUACUCAACAAGUUCUCUCUCGUCGAUUGCCAGUGGCACAAGAAUUACAUGAGUCGUGACGUAUCUGGCACUGCAGCAAAGCAAACCAAAACAUGCAUUCAGAUUGAGCAUACCCUUGUAUUUGUAUCAUGCUCUUUGCAAGAUCAUUCUCGCCCCAGUUGGAUAUCGGCAGUAGUCCAAUGAACUGUGAAGACGCAGCAUCAAAGGACAGAAAGUGAGUGUGCAAGUUUUUCAGUAUUAUUUCAAGAUGAAAAACACUCAUGGAGAUCUUUGAAGCGCCUGCCAACAAACAUCGUACAACAAACAAAUGAAAUUAUUUCCUACUGCCUUGUCACAUCUCCAAAUAUGGUAACACAGGAAAGGGCAACCCAUUGUAUAUGUCUAAAACAACGUGGGAAGAAUUAAUAAGAUGCUGUAGCAACAAGUGCAAUCCAGGAAUCGUGCACUCAGAUUCUAGAUGCCUUAGAAAAUAUUGCUGAAGACCAGACGCAAAAAGGAGAUACCAAAAGAAGCUGAAAACAACAAAAUGCAAACACUAGAGUAUGUAUUCAUGUUGGUUACGUGGAAUAAUACAUUGCAGCAUUUUCAUUGGAAGAGUCAAGCUCUCCAAGAUUCAUAAGUAAACUUAAAGACAUGCACAGAUCUCUACCAAUCAUUAACAGGAUAUUUACAUAUUUAAGAGAAGUCUGUGAAAACACAACAAAACAAAUACUGUCAAAUACUGAUUAUCAAGCAGUUCACUGUCACAGAAGCAUUAGAAAGAAACAGGUAAAUAAUGGAAGUGCUCCAGAAGUAUCAUUGAGUGCCAGAGAUCAGUUUCACGUAACCACACAUACUACACCAUUAUUGACACACUUGAGUCAUGCAUGAAAAAAGGGCGAAAGUGUACGAAGUACUUUCAAAUAAAUUUUCCUUCUUAAACAGUGUGGUUAUACCUGAUGAAGAAUGCAUGAAGGCACCCAUAAAAUUAGUGCAGACUUUUCCUGAUGACUUAAAUACAAACCUUUAUGGAGAAGUGGGACAAUUUCAUUCUUACAUGAGAACUAAGUUUACAGAUUCAGGAAAGACAAUUUUUACUCGUGUAGGCAUGUAUGAUUCCAUAACAGAAGACAAAGUACGAUGUGUAUUUCCCAAUGUUGAAAUUGCUGUAUGCAUAUUCCUAACUUCAAUGGUCACAAACUGCACGAUAGAACACUCAUGUUCAUCUGUAAAGAGACUCAGAAAUCCUCAGAGUACAAUUCAAGAAAUACUCGAAUCAUUAUCCUUAUUAUGUAUGGAAGUAGGGAUCGUUCUACAGCUUAGUUGUGAUGAAAUCAUAAUUUUUUUAAGUUUUUAAUUGUAACAUGUUAGAUGUGAAAGAUCUCUUUAAAAUUAAAAUAUAGUAAUUUGUUGUAAUAUUUUUUCUGAUCGUUAAAUUUUCUUUUAUGACAUCUUUUCAUUUGUUCAUUUAUAAUUAUAGCAUUUAUUAUGAAACAAGCAUCAACAGUGAAGUAUGAGCUGUUUAAAGCAAAAUUGGUGAAAGUUGAUUGUUGAAACAAGUAACUGCCCUGACUCAUUUUUUAGUUGUGCAAUACGUGGAAUAUUCCUUUUGUAGACAAUUUAGACAAUGUGGUAUAUAGAAAGAAAUCUUAAUACCCCAUAAAAAUACCCACUAGAAGUUUUAUAAUCCAGUUCAUCUCAUUCUGCUAAAAUGGCAUAUGCCACUUUUGCAUUCAAUUGCUAAUAUCAUAAUCACAUUUAAGAAGAAGUUACAUCAGAUAGUUAAGACACACACGCAGAUUUAUAUACACACAUGUAUAUAUAUAACUCAUAUAUCCCAUUCAAAUGCACGAAUUAGCAGAGGAGGGUACACCACAGAUUAUAGGUGUUUAGGGCUCUCAUGUGCCUUAAUCUGGCCCUGCAGACACAGGUAUACCAAUGUUCAUUGCAGCAUUUGCACAAUACCCAAAAGGUGGAAACAACUGAAAUGUCCUCAAAGGAUGAGCGAAUAAACAAAAUGUAGAAUAUAUAUAUAUAUAUACACGAUGAAAUAUUACUCAGCCAUAAAGAGAAAUAAAGUUCUGAUAUAUGCCACAACAUGGAUGACCCUUGAAAACAUAGUACUGAGUGAAAUAAGUCAGUCCCAAAAGGACAAAUACUAUAUGAUCUCACUUAUCUGAAAUAAGCAAAUAUACAGAAACCAAGAAUUAUUAGUGGUUACCAGAGAUGGGAGGAAGGGAGGGAGAAAAGGAGAAUUUUGGCUUAGGGGGCAGUGAGUUUAUGUUAAUGGCGGUGGAAUACUUUGGAAAAGCACGGUGAGAUUGGUUGUACAACUUGAAGAAUGUAACCAGUGUCAGUGAAUUAUACAUGUAGGAAUUGCUCAACUGGCAUGUGUUUGCUAUGUAUAUUUUCACCACAAAAAAUUUUGAAACUAUCAUCUUUUACAACAAAAUCUUCUUGACACUUCUCAGAUGCUGUUGUUGUUAGUUGCCUUCGAGUAGAUUCCAGCUCAUGGUGACCCCAUGUGUACAGAGUAGAAUUUCUCCAUAGGGCUUUCAAGGCUAUGACCUUUCAGGAGCAGACCACCAUGCCUGUCUUCCAAGGUGCCUUUGGGUGGGUUCCAACUGCCAACCUUUCGGCUAGUAGUUGAGUGCUUAACUGUUUGCACUGCCCAGGGACUCUUAGAUUACACCAAAAUUUUGCUCCUUUGCAGCAUAGUACUCAUAAACAGAGAUGCUAAAAAUAAUUAGGUAUAAUUUUAGCAUGCCCCAUGUUUUUAAAAUUCAUUCAUCGGUAUUAGAAGAACUGCCCUGUCCAUUGUGUCCACAAUGCAGAGAAAGAUGUCAAAGCAAAAAGAGGAGCUCAUCCCUUCUAGGUGAUUUUUUUAUACAAGGUAAAGGUGUGACUAUGAAUGGUCAGUGAUUGUGGACCUUCCUGGUUGAGUGAAAGCCUACUUGUAUUCACGUGUAAAGGCUUUCAUGACGACUGUCAACAAAUUUCCAGGAUGAUUUUAACUCUUGGUUUAAAAUAACCUUUUAUUAUUGGUAGCAAUUUUGGUGCACAUCUUACAAAAUAGAUUAUAAAACUCUCAAUAUUGGUAAAUACAUUCACUGUCCAUUUUACCCAUAGAGAUCAGGCAAAGUAGAAAGGAUAAAUGGAAUUAUCAAAAAUAAAUUGUCAAGGGUGAUGGAAAAAUUCAGGAAUGGUUAAUCGUGAUAGCUGAACAACAUGAUGAACGUGAUUAAUGUCACUGACCUGUACCUGUGAAGAUUGUGGAAAUGGCAAAUGUUUUAUUACUACAAUAAAAUUAAAAUAAGUUGAUUAAAUUGAUAGAGAAGACUCUCUUUGUCCCACUCUUCUUACUGGGUUCUAAUAGUAUAUUCUCCUCAAAGUAAUCAUCAGCUGAGACUAUGAAAGACACCAGUUACCCGUGGGCCCAUGCACUUAUGUACUAUACUCUGGUGAAAAUUCUUCUCUUUCAUUCUGAUAUUGGCAGUUGCUGUAUUAGAGUGACCAGACUAUUUGAUACUGUCAACAGGUGGUUUCUUAUUCUCCCCUCGUUUGCCUAAAGGUCCCUGCCAUAAUUUACUGACAAGAAAUAGACUCACGGAUUUGACAUUACAAACUAACACUUGGAUGAUUCACUCGGAUGUCUGAGCCCUGUGAUUUGAGAUUUCCAGAAAAAUUUCUGUCCCGAAGUAGAAGACUUCUAUAGAGAGAACUUGCAGGCAUAGAACAAUAAAUAAUUUUAAAGGAAUGAGUAAAAUUAGUGAGGGAGAUUGAUUGUGGCUACUGUUUUGAUAUUUUUGGUAAUGUGCUUCAUGUUCUUUUUUUUGAUCAGUCAUCUGAUGCAGCUCUUUUUCUUUGCUCUGGCUCUGGUCUCUAACCCUCAAUUUAGCAGACUAUCCUCGUGCCAACUGGAAUAAACACUCUCUCCAAAAAAAAAAAAAUCUUUGGUCAAUGCGUCACUCUCCUAAACAUCUCCACUGGCAUUGUCAACAUCUACACCAAGAACAGACUCCCUCUUUGAUUGCCACUUGGUUCCAACCAGUCGCUCAGAAUUCAUGGUGGAAUAGGUUUGUCUCAGAUGAUAGAUUUUGUUGGAACCAGAUACUAUAUUCCUUAGAAUGUUUUCCCUCAUACACCCCACAGAAAUUCAGAUUUAUAAAACUUCUUAUAUGCUACAUUUGCAAGGUUGAGUAUCCUAUAGAUUCUUACCUCAUGAAAGUGUAUGUCAAGAUGGAGUCUCCAUAAGCCUGAGUCAUGAGUAAGAAGAAUCUUCCCCCCACACAAUACGCAUUAAAUUUUGUAGCUUGAGCAAGAAAUAAGGGUUUGAGUUAAGCCACUGAGAUACUAGGGAUGUUACUAUAACAUAACCUAUCAUAUUUAAACUGCUACAAACUAUACUUAAUGUGGGAACAAUGCCUAAAAAAACCUUCCAAAUCACUGGUUUGGGAUCUGCUCUAAGAUUCUAGGUUUGGCUUCUAGUCCUAGGUCUACCAGAGACCAGCUUGGGCCCAGCUGCUCUGGUCAGGCAGGGACCCAGUGUUCCUUCAAGGUACACAUAUCUGCCUACUCAACAAGGGCAAAGAGCUUACUCUCAAGAGCCAGACUGCAUAGGAUGAAACCCAAGCUCUUGUGGAAAGGGUGAAUUUGGCAAAUUUCUUUAUGUGCCUGUUUCCAUGUAUGUAAAAUGCAAACAGUCGAUAUACCUUAUAGGAACAAAGACAAAGCAUUUAGAACAGUUCUUGACAGAUAGUGCUUUGUGAGUAUGAGCUGCUAGUGAAGAAUAGCUUUUUCUGGCCCUCUUAACCUCUUCCCAGCUACCCACCCAGAACACGCAGGGCACUUCCAUUCCUGUCUCUUCUAUUUCAGAGCAGGCAACACUGGGCAGCUUGGGAACAA